rnacentral:rRNA from 1 species
UAGGGAAUCUUCGGCCAUGGGGGGAACCCUGACCGAGCAACGCCGCGUGAGUGAAGAAGGUUUUCGGAUCGUAAAGCUCUGUUGUUAAGGAAGAACGAGUGUGAGAAUGGAAAGUUCAUACUGUGACGGUACUUAACCAGAAAGGGACGGCUAACUACGUGCCAGCAGCCGCGGUAAUACGUAGGUCCCGAGCGUUGUCCGGAUUUAUUGGGCGUAAAGCGAGCGCAGGCGGUUAGAUAAGUCUGAAGUUAAAGGCAGUGGCUCAACCAUUGUAGGCUUUGGAAACUGUGUAACUUGAGUGCAGAAGGGGGGAGUGGAAUUCAAGGGGUAGCGGUGAAAUGCGUAGAUAUAUGGAGGAACACCGGUGGCGAAGGCGGCUCUCUGGUCUGUAACUGACGCGGAGGCUCGAAAGCGUGGGGAGCGAACAGG